rnacentral:rRNA from 1 species
UAGGGAAUAUUGGUAAUGGGCGAAAGCCUGAACCAGCAACGCCGCGUGUGCGAUGAAGGCCUUCGGGUUGUAAAGCACUUUUGACCGGGACGAGGAAGGACGGUACCGGUGGAAUAAGCCUCGGCUAACUACGUGCCAGCAGCCGCGGUAAAACGUAGGAGGCGAGCGUUAUCCGGAUUUACUGGGUGUAAAGCGCGUGCAGGCGGUUAGCUAAGUUGGGUGUGAAAGCUCCUGGCUCAACUGGGAGGGGUCGCUCAAGACUGGCUGACUCGAGGAUGGUAGGGGAAGGUGGAAUUCCGGGUGUAGUGGUGAAAUGCGUAGAUAUCCGGAGGAACACCAGUGGCGAAGGCGGCCUUCUGGACCAUUACUGACGCUCAGACGCGAAAGCUAGGGUAGCAAACG